rnacentral:rRNA from 1 species
UUUGGCCUCAAAUCAGGUAGGACUACCCGCUGAACUUAAGCAUAUC